UUGGAUUGCGGCCAGAACUCAGGGCCCCAUCCCAAGAAGUUUGAGGCCCAGCCAGACCACCAGGAGAGCCUGCAGAGGACUGGGGUUCAGGGUACUGGGGGCCUCUUUCAGGAGUGCAGGCUGUUCCUGUGGACUCUGCCAGGGCUCAAAGCUGCGGACUGGGGGGUGGGCUGGAUCAGAGUGAACAGGAGCGGGCAGGCUGGAGUUGGGACACAUUCUCCAGCCUCUUCUGUUUGCAGGUGCCUGAGGACACCUUCAAACCUUCUCUGCUCCGUUGUAGAACUUUUUCCAGCAAGGGGGAGAGGAAGGACAAAAGGCUAUGCCUUGGGCUCCAAAGUUUAGGAGAGGAGCCAUGGAGAUGGACAGAGAGAGAUCCCAUUGUCUCUGGACACUGCUGGCCAAGGGCCUCCACCUCAGGAGCUGCUGCCUCUCAUCCACUUCCGGGGCGGGGGUAAUGGAAGCUCCCUACCGCCAAGCACCACGACCCUCCCCUGCCUUCUCCAGGCCUAAGGGUCAAGCUGCCAGGCCACCAGGCAGUGCCAGAUGGACAAUUCGAGGCUGAGUUACAUGAUUUAUCCAAAGUCACACACGUGCACAGGUGGUGGAGCUGAGGUGCAGAUUCAGGCUUGACUUCAAAACCAGGGCUCUCGCUCCAACAGUAGGCUGCAACGGCUUGAAGGACAAUGAUACUUACAGCAUGCCUACUGUGUGCAAAAUGCCAUGCUGAAGGCUGUCAGGUCUUGAAAGGUGAUGAUUCAGCAGAGGAUGCUGUUUGUGCCUCACCCCGUGUCCUCUAGCCCACUUCUCCACUCAUCUGCCACUGUGAUGGGAAGGUGUCAGCAAGCCCAGGAAUUGUCCACCCUAAGCAGCCUUUCUGCUUCUCACCUGCAGAGUUUCUCCAGUGCAGGGGCCAAGAGAGCUUUACUCAGCCCACAGGACAGCUGGGAUUUAACACUGCAGGGGCAACCCUCAAGUUAUUAAUAAGAGAUAAGAAUGGGUGGAUAAGCAACCUGGCUGCCUUGGAACUCCGUGGGACAAUUCCAUGGUGUGUUCUCACAGUUCCUCAGUGGGCCCCCAUUGCCCACAAUGAAACUCGAUCAUUAACCACUCUUCACUGGCUUUUCUCCUAACCCAUCCCUAUCUCACUUCCCCUUUCCCUCCCUCCAGCCUCCAGAGAUCACCUCCUCAGUAAACUACCUGCACCCAAGUUCUUGUCUCAGGGUCUGAUUUCAGGAGAAACCAAACUAGGACAUGCAGAGACACGCGUGCACACACACACACACACGCACACAUCUCUGUGAAAAGAUGAGGCACAGAGAAGAAUCAUUCCCAGUCAUGACUGGAUG